GACGAACGCUGGCGGCGUGCUUAACACAUGCAAGUCGAACGGAAAGGCCCUGCUUUUGUGGGGUGCUCGAGUGGCGAACGGGUGAGUAACACGUGAGUAACCUGCCCUUGACUUUGGGAUAACUUCAGGAAACUGGGGCUAAUACCGGAUAGGAGCUCCUGCUGCAUGGUGGGGGUUGGAAAGUUUCGGCGGUUGGGGAUGGACUCGCGGCUUAUCAGCUUGUUGGUGGGGUAGUGGCUUACCAAGGCUUUGACGGGUAGCCGGCCUGAGAGGGUGACCGGCCACAUUGGGACUGAGGUACGGCCCAGACUCCUACGGGAGGCAGCGGUGGGGAAUAUUGCGCAAUGGGCGGAAGCCUGAUGCAGCAACGCCGCGUGCGGGAUGACGGCCUUCGGGUUGUAAACCGCUUUCGCCUGUGACGAAGCGUGAGUGACGGUAAUGGGUAAAGAAGCACCGGCUAACUACGUG
rnacentral:rRNA from 1 species